rnacentral:rRNA from 1 species
UACGUAGGGUGCGAGCGUUUGUCCGGAAUUAUUGGGCGUAAAGAGCUUGUAGGCGGUUUGCCGCGUCUGCCGUGAAAAUCCGAGGCUCAACCUCGGACUUGCGUGGGUACGGGGCAGACUAGAGUGUGGUAGGGGAGACUGGAAUUCCUGGUGUAGCGGUGAAAUGCGCAGAUAUCAGGAGGAACACCGAUGGCGAAGGCAGGUCUCUGGGCCACUACUGACGCUGAGAAGCGAAAGCAUGGGGAGCGAACAG